GUAGGGUGCGAGCGUUAAUCGGAAUUACUGGGCGUAAAGCGUGCGCAGGCGGUUCGUUAUGUCCGAUGUGAAAGCCCCGAGCUUAACUUGGGAAUGGCAUUGGAAACUGGCGGGCUGGAGUGCGGCAGAGGGGGGUGGAAUUCCACGUGUAGCAGUGAAAUGCGUAGAGAUGUGGAGGAACACCGAUGGCGAAGGCAGCCCCCUGGGCCGACACUGACGCUCAGGCACGAAAGCGUGGGGAGCAAACAGGAUUAGAUACCCUGGUAGUCCACGCCCUAAACGAUGUCAACUGGGUGUUGGGGAAGCGAUUCCUUGGUACCGUAGCUAACGCGUGAAGUUGACCGCCUGGGGAGUACGGCCGCAAGGUUA
rnacentral:rRNA from 1 species